CCUACGGGGGGCAGCAGUGGGGAAUAUUGCACAAUGGGCGAAAGCCUGAUGCAGCAACGCCGCGUGAGGGAUGACGGCCUUCGGGUUGUAAACCUCUUUUAGUAGGGAAGAAGCGAAAGUGACGGUACCUGCAGAAAAAGCACCGGCUAACUACGUGCCAGCAGCCGCGGUAAUACGUAGGGUGCAAGCGUUGUCCGGAAUUAUUGGGCGUAAAGAGCUCGUAGGCGGUUUGUCGCGUCUGCUGUGAAAUCCCGAGGCUCAACCUCGGGUCUGCAGUGGGUACGGGCAGACUAGAGUGUGGUAGGGGAGAUUGGAAUUCCUGGUGUAGCGGUGGAAUGCGCAGAUAUCAGGAGGAACACCGAUGGCGAAGGCAGAUCUCUGGGCCAUUACUGACGCUGAGGAGCGAAAGCAUGGGGAGCGAACAGGAUUAGAUACCCCAG
rnacentral:rRNA from 1 species